rnacentral:rRNA from 1 species
GAUGAACGCUGGCGGCGUGCCUAAUACAUGCAAGUCGAGCGAACAGACGAGGAGCUUGCUCCUCUGACGUUAGCGGCGGACGGGUGAGUAACACGUGGAUAACCUACCUAUAAGACUGGGAUAACUUCGGGAAACCGGAGCUAAUACCGGAUAAUAUAUUGAACCGCAUGGUUCAAUAGUGAAAGACGGUUUUGCUGUCACUUAUAGAUGGAUCCGCGCCGCAUUAGCUAGUUGGUAAGGUAACGGCUUACCAAGGCAACGAUGCGUAGCCGACCUGAGAGGGUGAUCGGCCACACUGGAACUGAGACACGGUCCAGGCUCCUACGGGAGGCAGCAGUAGGGAAUCUUCCGCAAUGGGCGAAAGCCUGACGGAGCAACGCCGCGUGAGUGAUGAAGGUCUUCGGAUCGUAAAACUCUGUUAUUAGGGAAGAACAAAUGUGUAAGUAACUAUGCACGUCUUGACGGUACCUAAGCAGAAAGCCACGGCUAACUACGUG